UCCGAGUUGACCCCGGCAGUCUCCUAUGAGUCCCCACCAUCACGUGCUGGCAACAUAGGACGAGGGUUGCGCUCGUUGCGGGACUUAACCCAACAUCUCACGACACAAGCUGACGACAACCAUGCACCACCUGUGCACGACCCUUACGGACCCCCCAUCUCUGGAGGAUUUCCGUGCAUGUCAAGCCCAGGUAAGGUUCUUCGCGUUGCAUCGAAUUAAAGAACAUGCUCCGCUGCUUGUGCGGGCCCCCGUCAAUUCUUUUGAGUUUUAGCCUUGCGGCCGUACUCCCCAGGCGGAACACUUAACGCGUUGGCUUCGGCACAGGGAGAUUCGACUCCCCCCACACCUAGCACCCAUCGUUUACGGCGUGGACUAC
rnacentral:misc_RNA from 1 species